GAGGUUUCAAAACAUCGAUGUUCGAUGUUUCCUCUUUACCCAUCACUACUUGGCAGGAAAAAAUCUUGAUUACAGUCUGAUUCCGAAAGUUUGAUAUUGGUGUUGGCGGCGCUCAGAAAUGGAGAAGGCUUUGAAAGAGCAGAAUAACAAUAUUGCCUGUCAAGAGGAAGAAAGCGACAGUACGGUCCC